rnacentral:rRNA from 1 species
UGGGGAAUUUUGGACAAUGGGCGAAAGCCUGAUCCAGCAAUGCCGCGUGUGUGAAGAAGGCCUUCGGGUUGUAAAGCACUUUUGUCCGGAAAGAAAUCCUUGGCUCUAAUACAGUCGGGGGAUGACGGUACCGGAAGAAUAAGCACCGGCUAACUACGUGCCAGCAGCCGCGGUAAUACGUAGGGUGCAAGCGUUAAUCGGAAUUACUGGGCGUAAAGCGUGCGCAGGCGGCUUGCUAAGACCGAUGUGAAAUCCCCGGGCUCAACCUGGGAACUGCAUUGGUGACUGGCAGGCUAGAGUAUGGCAGAGGGGGGUAGAAUUCCACGUGUAGCAGUGAAAUGCGUAGAGAUGUGGAGGAAUACCGAUGGCGAAGGCAGCCCCCUGGGCCAAUACUGACGCUCAUGCACGAAAGCGUGGGGGAGCAAAACAGGAUUAGAUACCCUGGUAGUCCACGCCCUAAACGAUGUCAACUAGUUGUUGGGGAUUCAUUUCCUUAGUAACGUAGCUAACGCGUGAAGUUGACCGCCUGGGGAGUACGGUCGCAAGAUUAAAACUCAAAUGAAUUGACGGGGUU